UACAGAGGGUGCGAGCGUUAAUCGGAAUUACUGGGCGUAAAGCGUGCGUAGACGGUUUCGUCAGUCGGGUGUGAAAGCCCCGGGCUCAACCUGGGAAUUGCAUUCGAGACUGCGUAGCUAGGGUGCGGAAGAGGGAAGCGGAAUUCACGGUGUAGCAGUGAAAUGCGUAGAUAUCGUGAGGAACACCAGAGGCGAAGGCGGUUACCUGGACAGUUACUGACGCUCAGGCACGAAAGCAUGGGGAGCAAAAGGG
rnacentral:rRNA from 1 species